AUCGCUUCUCGGCCUUUUGGCUAAGAUCAAGUGUAGUAUCAGUUCUUAUCUGUUCUUAAGAGGAUAAAGUAAGUGAAGAGGAGAAGGAGUCAGAUGAAUCGACCCCCU
ensembl:snRNA U2 U2 spliceosomal RNA